AACGAACGCUGGCGGCAGGCCUAACACAUGCAAGUCGAACGCCGUAGCAAUACGGAGUGGCAGACGGGUGAGUAACGCGUGGGAACAUACCCCUCGGUUCGGAAUAACUCAGGGAAACUUGAGCUAAUACCGGAUACGUCCGAGGUUUUGAUCGACCUUGGAGAAAGAUUUAUCGCCGAAGGAUUGGCCCGCGUCUGAUUAGCUUGUUGGUGAGGUAAUGGCUCACCAAGGCGACGAUCAGUAGCUGGUCUGAGAGGAUGAUCAGCCACAUUGGGACUGAGACACGGACCCAAACUCCUACGGGAGGCAGCAGGUGGGGAAUAUUGGACAAGUGGGACGAAAGCCUGAUCCAGCCAUGCCGCGUGAGUGA
rnacentral:rRNA from 1 species